AACGAACGCUGGCGGCAGGCUUAACACAUGCAAGUCGAGCGCCCCGCAAGGGGAGCGGCAGACGGGUGAGUAACGCGUGGGAAUCUACCCAUCUCUACGGAAUAACGCAUGGAAACGUGUGCUAAUACCGUAUACGUCCUUCGGGAGCAAGAUUUAUCGGAGAUGGAUGAGCCCGUGUUGGAUUAGCUAGUUGGUGGGGUAAAGGCCUACCAAGGCGACGAUCCAUAGCUGGUCUGAGAGGAUGAUCAGCCACACUGGGACUGAGACACGGCCCAGACUCCUACGGGAGGCAGCAGUGGGGAAUAUUGGACAAUGGGCGCAAGCCUGAUCCAGCCAUGCCGCGUGAGUGAUGAAGGCCCUAGGGUUGUAAAGCUCUUUCACCGGUGAAGAUAAUGACGGUAACCGGAGAAGAAGCCCCGGCUAACUUCGUGCCAGCAGCCGCCGUAACAC
rnacentral:rRNA from 1 species